UUAUCCACUGAAUACUUGUUCUGCUAGAUGGAGUUCUGCAUCAGGAGAAUUCUUUUUUUUCAACAUGGACAUGACUAAGGAGGAAGAUGUAGGAGAAAAAAAUCGAACCGUGGUUUGCAAAGGCGCUGCGGUUAUCUGAAGAGGCUGGAAAAAAAUAUAACGAUACCAGACGCUAUUCAGUGAUAUUUCGGUUGUAUCCAGUAAACUGAAUAAGAAGAAAUUUAAGAUAAAACAUGUCAUUCCAUUGGAUCACCUGUGGAUUGGUGAUGAAGUGGACGUGUUCAGUUUCAUGGAAAAGACCACUUGGUUGCAUUUCUUUCUACAAAGCCUUCAGGCCAGGGCGAUAUUCAUACUAAUGAGGUGCUUCAUGCUCCACCAAUCCCUGGAGGACAAGUAUACAACCGUAGCCUGUUAUGUAUAAAAGGCGAGCGCCUUUGCUGCUCGGGAUCCCCGUAUCAACAAUGAGGUGGUCCUGCAAUAAAGGCUGUUGAGAAGAAUCCGACGGUGUUGCAUCUUCCUUGCUGGCCAAGGUGGGCGCGACAGAAAACAACAUGAAACAAGACUGAUUCAUGUACUAUAGAUGCAAAAGGAGUAAAUACUUUUCGUUAUGUCACUGAAAUUUGAACCAAAUAGUCCCAACAGCAUAU
rnacentral:sRNA from 1 species